AACAUCGCGCACCUGCGGGAACCUGCGGAAGGAUCACUACCGAGUUAUACAACUCAUCAACCCUGUGAACAUACCUAAAACGUUGCCUCGGCGGGAACAGACGGCCCCGUAACACGGGCCGCCCCCGCCAGAGGACCCCCUAACUCUGUUUCUAUAAUGUUUUUUCUGAGUAAACAAGCAAAUAAAUCAAAACUUUUAACAAUGGAUCU
rnacentral:misc_RNA from 1 species